GAAUUAGGGUAUUCCCAAUUAUUUAGUUGAACACAACUACUCUUUACUCAAAUGCAAGUAUUUAUCAUUCCUCUUACUGCAAAUCUGACACAAAGAUUUUCACUUUUUCUUAAUUUUUUAGAUUAGUUUUCUUAAACAAUGGCUUUAUAAGUGAUUAGCUAAACAGAUUAAGCUUUGUUUGUCCUUUUCUGACCCUUUUCAGGGUUUUUGGUUCUUGAUUUUUUCAUAUAUAUAGAAAAGAAUAGAUUCUUUUUUUUGGUUACCUCUCACAGAUAUCAAUCUUCUUCCCCAUACCUUAUCCCUCUCAUCUCUUUCUCUUAUGUUUAUCUGAUAAAGUUUCAAUCUUUUUGAGUUUUCUUGAGCUUUACAGAGAAAGAGUGAGAGAGAGAUACAGAGAGAGGUCUGAAUGGAAGGUGUUUUACAAACAAGAGGGCUUCUUUCUUUGCCUUCUAAACCAAAAAUCAAGGCUUUUUACCCAUUGCCUCAAGGGGGUUUAAGGAACAGAUUCAAUUCUUUAAGUAGUUUAAAGCCUAAUCCUUUUAAUGGGGUUUCUUUAUCUUCAAAUGGGUUUCAAAAAGUUCAAGGCUUUGACACAAAGCCUCAGUUGUUUGGUCAAAAGAAGAGGUGUUUUUCAAUAUGCAAAGCUGCGGCUGCUGGUGGUGCAGCUGAUGGACAGCCACUUUUUGUUGAAAAGGAGCAACCUAAGUUUAUGGGGAUUGAAGUUGUGACCCUUAAGAAAAUUAUACCACUUGGGGCUAUGUUCUUUUGUAUUCUGUUUAAUUAUACAAUCCUUAGGGAUACUAAGGAUGUGUUGGUUGUAACAGCUAAAGGGUCUAGUGCUGAGAUUAUCCCUUUCUUGAAAACUUGGGUGAAUUUGCCUAUGGCUAUUGGAUUCAUGCUUUUGUACACAAAGUUGGCUAAUGUGUUGUCAAAGGAGGCUCUUUUUUAUACUGUUAUACUUCCUUUUAUUGCAUUCUUUGGGGCGUUUGGGUUUGUUUUGUAUCCUCUUAGCAAUUACUUUCACCCUACAGCUUUUGCUGAUAAGCUUCUGAAUACCCUUGGUCCAAGAUUUCUUGGACCAAUUGCUAUUCUGAGGAUCUGGAGUUUCUGCUUGUUUUAUGUCAUGGCUGAGCUUUGGGGAAGUGUGGUGGUUUCAGUACUCUUUUGGGGAUUUGCUAAUCAGAUUACGACUGUCGAUGAGGCUAAGAAAUUCUAUCCUUUGUUUGGACUUGGAGCGAAUGUUGCUCUUAUUUUCUCUGGUCGCACAGUGAAGUACUUUUCUAGCUUGAGAAGCUCUUUAGGUCCUGGAGUUGAUGGUUGGGCUAUCUCCCUGAAAGGAAUGAUGAGCAUUGUUGUGAUGAUGGGUGGGGCAAUCUGUUUCUUUUACUGGUGGGUGAAUAGAAAUGUUCCUCUCCCAACUCGUAGCAAGAAGAAGAAGGUAAAACCUAACAUGACCACAAUGGAGAGCUUGAAGUUCUUGGUCUCUUCAAAAUAUAUCAGGGAUCUUGCCACAUUGGUUGUAGCAUAUGGCAUUAGUAUCAACCUUGUUGAAGUUACAUGGAAGUCAAAGCUCAAAGCUCAGUUCCCAAGCCCCAAUGAAUACUCGUCAUUCAUGGGUGACUUCUCAACUGCUACUGGAAUAGCAACUUUCACAAUGAUGUUGUUAAGUCAAUGGAUUUUUGACAAGUAUGGAUGGGGAGCAGCAGCCAAGAUAACACCUACAGUCCUGCUCCUUACCGGAGUUGGUUUCUUCUCCCUGCUUUUGUUUGGUGCCCCUCUAGCACCUACUCUUGCAAAGUUUGGAAUGACUCCUCUUCUAGCAGCUGUCUAUGUGGGUGCAAUGCAGAACAUUUUCAGUAAGAGUGCAAAGUAUAGUUUGUUUGACCCCUGCAAAGAAAUGGCCUACAUUCCUUUGGAUGAAGACACCAAGGUUAAAGGGAAGGCAGCAAUCGAUGUUGUCUGCAAUCCACUGGGAAAGUCUGGAGGAGCUUUGAUACAGCAGUUCAUGAUUUUGACUUUUGGUUCACUUGCCAGCUCGACACCCUACCUUGGAGGUGUGCUCUUAGUAAUUGUUCUUGCAUGGUUGGGAGCAGCCAAGUCUUUGGAUCAACAGUUCACUCAAUUACGCCACGAAGAAGAUCUUGAGAAGGAAAUGGAGAGAGCAUCGUUGAAGAUCCCUGUCGUGUCUCAUAAUGAAACUGGAAAUAGUCCUCUCUCGAGUGGGUCAUCACUGAAUCCCGCUGAAGGUGACUCAACCAACGCUUCAUCAGAACCCUCCUCCCCAAGGAGCCUGUAAUAUCAUUAUUAAGAUCACUUGCAGAAGAGGAGGAAUAAAAAGCGAACAGAAGAUGCAUCAGGUGGUAGUAAUCUUGGUUGCAGUCCGACUAUGAAUUGAUGCUGUCAAAUCUUUGUUGGUUAUAGGAAUUCGUUUUUACUCAGAGAGAAAUAAAUUUAGAUACAAGAGAGGCAUGCCACCAAAUUAGCCAUCCUGCCAUCCCAUAUUUAAUUUAUUUCCUGGUAGUCACAUUUUUUCUCAGUUUUGUAGCGCUCUGAAUUCUCGUUGAACAACUUUCUUUUGGCAGUGUAAGCAUGUGUUGUUUCUCCAUUAACUUUGUUAUCUUGAUGAUGCUUCUAUCUGACUCAAGAAUGUUU
rnacentral:misc_RNA from 1 species